rnacentral:rRNA from 1 species
UGGCCAGACUCCUACGGGAGGCAGCAGUGAGGAAUAUUGGUCAAUGGGCGAGAGCCUGAACCAGCCAAGUCGCGUGAAGGAUGACGGCCCUACGGGUUGUAAACUUCUUUUGUCAGGGAGCAAUUGAGUCCACGUGUGGGCUUAGCGAGAGUACCUGAAGAAAAAGCAUCGGCUAACUCCGUGCCAGCAGCCGCGGUAAUACGGAGGAUGCGAGCGUUAUCCGGAUUUAUUGGGUUUAAAGGGUGCGUAGGCGGAAUAUCAAGUCAGCGGUAAAAUCGCGGGGCUCAACCUCGCUCCGCCGUUGAAACUGGCGUUCUUGAGUGGGCGAGAAGUAUGCGGAAUGCGUGGUGUAGCGGUGAAAUGCAUAGAUAUCACGCAGAACUCCGAUUGCGAAGGCAGCAUACCGGCGCCCAACUGACGCUGAAGCACGAAAGCGUGGGUAUCGAACAGGAUUAGAUACCCCUGUA